CUUUCUCCCUGCAGGGCCAACCCACAGGUGUGCAGGGGACAGCGAUAUGCUACCGCUUCUCCUGCCAAAGCCACUUUCCCAGCAGUUCAGUUGAAAGAGGCAAGGCUCAAACCCUGUGCUGCAUGAUUAUUCCUUCUUGAAACCACUGCAAUGUCUCUUGGUCUGAGUCUUGUUUAUUAUUAUUAUUUUCUGGUUUAUAUCUUCCUUUCAUUUGAACAGUUUGAUUUUCUGUGGCUGUUUCUGUGUUUGUUCAAUGCUGCAGUAGAUAACAAUAACAUGAUUAAAUUCCAGCUCUGACUGUUGCAACAUAAGCGCUCUGCCUUCAUUAUCCUUGGUGCCUAAAACUAUUUGAUCUCUAAUAAGUUUGCCUGCAAGUGUGCCUCAUUUGCAUGAUGAGGCUAACUGGUGCAGCCUGGUUGCAUAUUGGUCUCUGAUUUCAGUUUCUCUUCAAUCAGAUGCAUCAAACAGAAGGAACUAUUAGAAUUGCCAGCAACUGUAUUUUUUUUCUGUGAAUCGUGUCAGAAUACUAGGACUCUCAGGCAGCCUUAGUAGGCUGGACAAAUCCACCAAUAAAAGGCACGGGAGAAAUUCUCAUGUCAAGCCAUAUACAAAGCAAGGCUGUGCUGAGGAUUGCUGGUCUGCUCUGAUGGCUUAACAAGCUGUUAAGACCAAAUCCAACAGCUAGGCAUCCUCCUUUGGUAAGCAACGUUUCCCAUAGCCACUGGCCUGAGCGAGGGAUGGAGUUGUGUCACCCAGCAGAGACCUGUCCCUAAGCCCAGCACAGCCAGGUCUGCUUUCUCUGAGGGUCAGACUCUGUCCCAGCUUGUGGCCACCCUGCAUGGGGACUUAGGCCCAGCUGACACUCAUUUGGCUGGAGGGCCUCCGUGGGCUUCACUGCUUGAAGUUUGCAGGGAGAGAAAACAUUUUUUCUUACCUCAAGCAUUUGGGAACACGAACCUUCCUCUGUGUCUACAAUUGAAGCAGAAAACUUAAGAGCUAAAUGCAAACAGAGAAGAAGCUCAAGUCAUGAGAUUCAUGGCAAUAGUGCUGAAAAUGUUUCACGUUGCCCAUCUCCUUUCUGGAUCAUGCUUAGGGCAGAUACCAAGAAACCAAGCGGUGCAGAGGCAAACAAAAGAACCCUGAGGAUCCCAUCAGCAGUGAUUGCUUUGCACACGAACAGUAUUUCUUCCCUAGCAUAUACUUCCAAGAAUUUUUUAAAAUGUCGUUCAUAUAUCAUCUGCCCUAGCAGACAAUAGUUGUUCCAGAGAAGCUGUUGCUCUCUAUUAGGUCAAUGAUCAGUGAACUAAACAUUUUCUACUUAGGCCUUCAUAUGAUAAAAGCCUAAGAGCUUUGAAGGAGCCAUUACAGACUAUUGCCUAGAAGAAAUAUCCAUUUGAAAAUUCUGCAAUUAUGUACUUCUAUAAUAGCGUGUAAAAGGAGCUCUGGACCCAUUAUGGGUUAUUGAGUAAAUAAUGUAUUUUUAAAAGUGUCUAAGUAAUUUAUAUGAUAGCCUGUAUUGGCAGCAAAGAGUGAUUGUAGAAUAAACAUUGUGUCUUCCUUUUUAAAAAAAUCUCAUUUAAAUCCCUACAUAGCAAUUAAAAAAAGAAAUCCCUGAUGCAGUUUCAGU
rnacentral:lncRNA from 7 species